UAGGGAAUCUUCGGCAAUGGGGGCAACCCUGACCGAGCAACGCCGCGUGAGUGAAGAAGGUUUUCGGAUCGUAAAGCUCUGUAGUAAGUCAAGAACGAGUGUGAGAGUGGAAAGUUCACACUGUGACGGUAGCUUACCAGAAAGGGACGGCUAACUACGUGCCAGCAGCCGCGGUAAUACGUAGGUCCCGAGCGUUGUCCGGAUUUAUUGGGCGUAAAGCGAGCGCAGGCGGUUUGAUAAGUCUGAAGUUAAAGGCUGUGGCUCAACCAUAGUUCGCUUUGGAAACUGUCAAACUUGAGUGCAGAAGGGGAGAGUGGAAUUCCAUGUGUAGCGGUGAAAUGCGUAGAUAUAUGGAGGAACACCGGUGGCGAAAGCGGCUCUCUGGUCUGUAACUGACGCUGAGGCUCGAAAGCGUGGGGAGCGAACAGGAUUAGAUACCCUGGUAGUCCACGCCGUAAACGAUGAGUGCUAGGUGUUGGAUCCUUUCCGGGAUUCAGUGCCGCAGCUAACGCAUUAAGCACUCCGCCUGGGGAGUACGACCGCAAGGUUG
rnacentral:rRNA from 1 species